rnacentral:rRNA from 1 species
AUUGAACGCUGGCGGCAUGCUUUACACAUGCAAGUCGAACGGCAGCGCGGGCUUCGGCCUGGCGUCGAGUGGCGAACGGGUGAGUAAUGCAUCGGAACGUGCCCAGUAGUGGGGGAUAGCCCGGCGAAAGGCGGAUUAAUACCGCAUACGACCUGAGGGUGAAAGCGGGGGACCGAAAGCCCUCCCGCUAUUGGAGCGGCCGAUGUCGGAUUAGCUAGUUGGUGGGGUAAAGGCUUACCAAGGCGACGAUCCGUAGCUGGUCUGAGAGGACGACCAGCCACACUGGGACUGAGACACGGCCCAGACUCCUACGGGAGGCAGCAGUGGGGAAUUUUGGACAAUGGGGGAAACCCUGAUCCAGCCAUGCCGCGUGCGGGAAGAAGGCCUUCGGGUUGUAAAGCGCUUUUGUUCGGGAAGAAAUGCUCUGGGCUAAUACCCCGGGGGGAUGACGGUACCGGAAGAAUAAGCACCGGCUAACUACGUG